AUUGAACGCUGGCGGCAUGCUUUACACAUGCAAGUCGAACGGCAGCGCGGGCUUCGGCCUGGCGGCGAGUGGCGAACGGGUGAGUAAUGCAUCGGAACGUGCCCAGUAGUGGGGGAUAGCCCGGCGAAAGCCGGAUUAAUACCGCAUACGACCUGAGGGUGAAAGCGGGGGACCGAAAGGCCUCGCGCUAUUGGAGCGGCCGAUGUCGGAUUAGCUAGUUGGUGGGGUCAAGGCUGACCAAGGCGACGAUCCGUAGCUGGUCUGAGAGGACGACCAGCCACACUGGGACUGAGACACGGCCCAGACUCCUACGGGAGGCGGCAGUGGGGAAUUUUGGACGAUGGGGGCAACCCUAGUCCCGCCAUGCCGCGUGCGCGAAGAAGGCCUUCGGGUUGUAAAACGCUUUUGUUCGGGAAGAAAUCCUCUGGGCUAAUACCCCGGGGGGAUGACGGUACCGGAAGAAUAAGCACCGGCUAACUACGUG
rnacentral:rRNA from 1 species